GAUGUACGCUGGCGGCGUGCUUAACACAUGCAAGUCGAACGGUGAAGGCGGAGCUUGCUCUGCUGGAUCAGUGGCGAACGGGUGAGUAACACGUGAGCAAUCUGCCCCUGACUCUGGGAUAAGCGCUGGAAACGGCGUCUAAUACUGGAUACGAGCUGCGAAGGCAUCUUCAGCAGCUGGAAAGAAUUUCGGUCAGGGAUGAGCUCGCGGCCUAUCAGCUUGUUGGUGAGGUAAUGGCUCACCAAGGCGUCGACGGGUAGCCGGCCUGAGAGGGUGACCGGCCACACUGGGACUGAGACACGGCCCAGACUCCUACGGGAGGCAGCAGUGGGGAAUACUGCACAAUGGGCGAAAGCCUGAUGCAGCAACGCCGCGUGAGGGACGACGGCCUUCGGGUUGUAAACCUCUUUUAGCAGGGAAGAAGCGAAAGUGACGGUACCUGCAGAAAAAGCGCCGGCUAACUACGUG
rnacentral:rRNA from 1 species